rnacentral:rRNA from 1 species
AGUCGAGUAGUUUGGGAAUGCUGCUCUAAAUGGGAGGUAAAUUUCUUCUAAAGCUAAAUACCGGCCAGAGACCGAUAGCGCACAAGUAGAGUGAUCGAAAGAUGAAAAGUACUUUGAAAAGAGGGUUAAAUAGCACGUGAAAUUGUUGAAAGGGAAGCGUUUAUGACCAGACCUUCGUCGGGCGGAUCAUCCGGUGUUCUUCACCGGUGCACUUCGCCCGGCUUAGGCCAGCAUCGGUUUUCGCAGGGGGAUAAAGGUCCCGGGAACGUAGCUCCCUCCGGGGAGUGUUAUAGCCCGAGACGUAAUACCCUUGCGGGGACCGAGG